rnacentral:rRNA from 1 species
GAGACCUGUAUCCACCGUUGCUAACGCGUCCGUAAGGAUGAGCGAGCACACUGUGGAGACUGCCUUCGAAAGAAGGAGGAAGGCGCAGGCCACGGUAGGUCUGUACGCCCCGAAUCUCCUGGGCAACACGCGCGCAACAAUGGUUGUGACAAUAGGAUGCAACACCGAAAGGUGAAGCCAACCCUCUAAACACAACCUUAGUAUGAAUUGAGGGCUGCAACUCGCCCUCAUGACAUCGGAAUCCCUAGUAAUCAGAGGUUAGCAUCCUCCGGUGAAUAU